GCAGCAUUUUUGUCUUUAUUUGUUGAUUUUGAAAAUCCAGUCUAACUUGAGGUGGUAUUCAAUAUGCAAUCGACUUCAUUCACUGUAUUGGUCAGUUAUUAAGGUAUUAGCCAUGUAAUACAACUCGGGAAACAUCGGGUAACAUCGACAAAUAUCGCCACUCGCCGUAACAGAUCGUGACGAACAUCGGGCGUAUUCGGCCUGUACCGGAUGUUGCUAUUUUUAGAAACAGAAGGUAUUUCCCGGCUAUUCAUAGGGUAAUAAUGGAAUUUCUACAUCGUAGGAUUUGGAAACAUUGUGAUGUUUUUCUCAUGAAUAUACGUUUAAAAUAAAUAAACACUAAAAGAACACGCUGACAGUUGAUUACGAUACAUCUAACAAUUUGAGUCAUUACAGUAAAACAUGGAUUAUAAGUGAAAUAUACGCGUGAGAAGAUUUUCUCUCGAAAAAACAAACUGUCAACAAUCGGCAUGGAACUGGGAUAUUCGUAUCAAAGGGCUCUGAAUGCAGGAAAAUGACUGAAUAUUACUUAGUCAACAACACUGGGUUAUGAAGAAUUCCAGCCUGCAUUAAAUACUAUGUUGGAUCCUUGAGAGCGGAUUUGACAGCCAUGUCCAUCCACAAGGCAGUCGCAUCUGAUCGAGAUGAUCACUAAACAUUCUUGAUGGGUAAAGUACCUGAAGGUGCAUGAAAACCAAAUCAGCAUUGACUCAGCAUUGAGAAGUUAUCAUCUGUUCACACACUACAAGUACAAAGCAUGGGAACAGACCAAACUUUAAAUGUUGAAGAGUGAUUAAUUAUUGCGAAAAAAACUAAUUGUUAGAAUACCAAUGACAAAAUAAAACAGAUAUACAUCAAAUUACCCAUAGAGAUUGUUUACAUGUUAUAAUAUUAAAAACAACAUUAGUUGAGAACUUUCACUCUGAUAUUUUUGGAGGGGCGAGCCCACUUAGUGUUCUUGUUUCUUCACAUAUUUUAGUUUAAAAGUACACUCGUUUGUUUUAAACUCUGUAUUCUGAGUUAGUAUCAUAAGUAAAAUUCAUUUAUUUGAAAGAGUACAUUUUAUGAAUAAGUCCAAUAAAGCUUUAUAAAUUUUUACAAGAAAAAGGUUGAUUUUUAAGCAUUUUAUUAGCUAUAAAAAUGUAUGGUAACAUGACAUUUUGUAUAUUUUCUUCAAAACUGGACGGUAAACUAUCAUAAAUUGUCUUUUAAAUUGUUCAAUAGACAUCAUAGAUAAUAUCUGAAAUGAUUUCAGCAGCUUGCCAUAUAGUUAACUAUUUUUUAUGAAUUUUAUAAAACUGCUAUAUAUUUUCAAACAUCGAAAAACUGCUCUUUCCCGAAGAAUCAUAAGAUCAAUCAAAAUGAUUUUUUUCCAUGUGUUUCAAUAAUGUGUUCAUUUGAACUUUAGUUUUCUGUUAA